UAUAGCCUCACCUUGGAGGGGACAUGUGGCUGCUGGAACAGAACCUCUGCUUCCAAUCCACUGCUGUGUAACUUGGGCAGGUCAAAGGUUCUCAAACUGUGGACCCUGGGCCAAUAGCAUCAGCAUUAACUGCGAACUCGUUAGAAAUACAGAUUCUGGCCAGGCAGGGUGGCUCACACCUGUAAACCCAGCACUCUAGGAGGCUGAGGCUGGGGGAUCACUUGGAGCCAGGAGUUUGAGACCAGCCUGGGCAACACAGCGAGAUCCCAUCUCUUAAAAAAAGAAAAAAGAGAAGAGAGAAGAGAAAAGAAAAGGAAGGCGUCUCCCUGCCAGUAGGUGCCCUCCUACGCCCCGCAGGCGCCGUGGGCCCAGCACCCUCGCUCCCACACUCACCUCCCCGCUGGCCGGAGGGCUCUGUCUCCGCAGCCCCUCCACCUCCUUCCUGAGGUGGUCCCUCUCCAUCUUCAGCUCCUCCAGCGCCAGGCUGCCCUCAUUCACCAGCGCCUCCAGCAUCUCCAGGACGCGGACGACUUUGAACUGCAGCUGCGUCACCCGGGGGUCGCUGCCCAGGGCCAUAAGCUCGCGGCCCAACAGGUAGGAGAUGUCAUACACGUCCUCGGCGGUCAGCUGGAAGGGGCUCUUGCCCAACGCCCCCUCGGGCCCAACCUCGUCCCUCUCCUCGUCCUCCUCUCCCUCCUCCUCUUCCUCUUCUCGCACAGGGGGCUCCUCCAUGGCCACCCAGACCCCCGCCGACCUCGGAGCUGCUGUCUUGGAGUCUCCCAAAGGUGAUGGAAGAUCCGGGUGUCUCUUUGAGGGUGUUUUCUGGAGCCUGCGGCCAAACAGAAAGCAGCUGCUGGGGGCAGCGCGACAGAGUCCCCGAGGCUUGAGGAUCUGGAAAACUCCCAGGCAAAUUGUCACUAGGGUCUGUGGCGUCCGACUUCGCUGUGACUCUCAAUAAAAUGGAGAAUGUC